rnacentral:rRNA from 1 species
AGUUUGAUCCUGGCUCAGGAUGAACGCUAGCUACAGGCUUAACACAUGCAAGUCGAGGGGCAGCAUUGGAGUAGCAAUACUUCAGAUGGCGACCGGCGCACGGGUGAGUAACACGUAUCCAACCUGCCGCUUACUCGGGGAUAGCCUUUCGAAAGAAAGAUUAAUACCCGAUGGUAUAAAGAGUUCGCAUGUUCUCUUUAUUAAAGAAUUUCGGUAAGCGAUGGGGAUGCGUUCCAUUAGAUUGUUGGCGGGGUAACGGCCCACCAAGUCUACGAUGGAUAGGGGUUCUGAGAGGAAGGUCCCCCACAUUGGAACUGAGACACGGUCCAAACUCCUACGGGAGGCAGCAGUGAGGAAUAUUGGUCAAUGGACGAGAGUCUGAACCAGCCAAGUAGCGUGAAGGAUGACUGCCCUAUGGGUUGUAAACUUCUUUUAUAAGGGAAUAAAGUGAGGGACGUGUCCCUUUUUGUAUGUACCUUAUGAAUAAGGAUCGGCUAACUCCGUGCCAGCAGCCGCGGUAAUACGGAGGAUCCAAGCGUUAUCCGGAUUUAUUGGGUUUAAAGGGAGCGUAGGUUGACAUAUAAGUCAGCUGUGAAAGUUUACGGCUCAACCGUGAAAUUGCAGUUGAUACUGUAUGUCUUGAGUGUACAAGAGGUGGGCGGAAUUCGUGGUGUAGCGGUGAAAUGCUUAGAUAUCACGAAGAACUCCAAUUGCGAAGGCAGCUCACUGGGGUACAACUGACACUGAGGCUCGAAAGUGUGGGUAUCAAACAGGAUUAGAUACCCUGGUAGUCCACACAGUAAACGAUGAAUACUCGCUGUUUGCGAUAUACAGUAAGCGGCCAAGCGAAAGCAUUAAGUAUUCCACCUGGGGAGUACGCCGGCAACGGUGAAACUCAAAGGAAUUGACGGGGGCCCGCACAAGCGGAGGAACAUGUGGUUUAAUUCGAUGAUACGCGAGGAACCUUACCCGGGCUUGAAUUGCAGAGGAACAUAGUUGAAAGAUUAUGGCCGCAAGGUCUCUGUGAAGGUGCUGCAUGGUUGUCGUCAGCUCGUGCCGUGAGGUGUCGGCUUAAGUGCCAUAACGAGCGCAACCCUUAUCAUUAGUUACUAACAGGUCAUGCUGAGGACUCUAGUGAGACUGCCGUCGUAAGAUGUGAGGAAGGUGGAAG